rnacentral:lncRNA from 1 species
AAGGAGGACAUAUUUUUUUACCGUAAGCACUAAUUUCUUCCUCACCUGGAAAAACUCAUGCCUGAUAAUCUGAGUAGUGGGCUAAAAUGAAAAUCAUUCCAUUGACACUGAAGAAGACAGGACCUGAAAGAGCCGAUUGACAUGAAGUUGUCCUGGCUUCCAUAGUUAAUGAUACAACUGACGUGGGGCCAAGAGUGACUGCACCCAGUGAAUGAAGAGCCAAUGGGACCAGACCUGGGGGAGAUGACCCAUUGCUACCCUGCAGAGUAUUGUAAUGAUGGAGAGUGGAACAAAAGAACCAUUGGAGGAAACUGGAAUGCAGGAAUGACAGUUGGAAACUGAACAAGGACUUCUGGAAAAUUCUCUGGAGGA